GCAGGCAGAAGGUGACAGCAGCAGCAGAGCCGGUCGGGCUUGGGAGACCCCCUGCCUCGGCCCAGAUGACCUAGGUGCUUCGUCCAGACCCCAGCUUUUCCGUGCUCCCUGAGACUCUGCCAAGGGCCUGGGCGUGGAGCUGCAGCUCGGGCACCCUGAGCUGUACCUCUGCCUUGCCUUCAUCUGCCACCUGGGAGAACUGUCUCUGAUUCUCCACUGGUGAGGCAAGCUCGGAGGCUCCCCCUCCUCCCGGGCAUGGAGGCAUCGGGCCUGGGGUCUCCACUGUCCCCUGUCAACCCUGCGCACGCCGUCCUGCCUGCUUCCUCUCAGCUGCCCAUGCCAGCCUGUGUGGUGGAUUCAGAAGAAGACGCUUGUCAGAUUGUCCAGAGCCUUCAGAUGUUGAUUUAGCUGCUUGAACAGAGAGGUCAUGCGUCGUGCAGUGGGAGCAGGUGCUGCAGAGCUCCCAAAGUUGCAGGUUCUUCCUGGCUAAGGUCAUGAACGUGGACACCCUCUCCCUGGCUGCCUGUAGCACAUCAGCCCCUCUCAAGACUCCCCUUCAGGAGCCAGCGUCUGCAGCUCUUCAGGGCGAUGUUUUCCUGCCAGAACCAGAGGCUGGAUUGGCUCCCUAUUAAGCAGUCUGGACUGCUGGCCCCUGCAGAAGGAAAACCCAGAUCCUGAGACUCAGCCUCAAAGGUAAAAAUCUCCCACUCCCAGCACACGGCCCAGAGGAAGAUGCUGGUCAGAGUUCACCCAGCACAUCAGAAGGAACACGCAUCCUCCAGAGCAGGGACCAUGCCUCAUUAACACGGUGGAGGCUGGAGCCACAGCUUCCUGCCAAGCUUCCAGCUAACUAGAAAUUGAUGACAACCUCUCUGUGAGGGAUAAAGAGCCCUGCCAGCUGCCUGUGGGCCUCAGCCCUGCACGCAGGCUGUGUCCAGCAACUUCACCAAGAUGUACUUCCUGUUCCUAUUGGGGUGACUGCUUCCUGCUUAGGGCCAUCCAGAACCGCAUCGGGGCCCCCUGUGGUGCUGUGAUGAAACUCUUGGCCGGAGACCUUGUAUUUGAGCACGUGACCCUCUGCCUGGGAUCUCAUAUUCCGGUCAUGAGGUUGGGAUUCCACAAGGCCAAGAUGUCAGCACUAAGCCCCCAACAAAAUGUGCUUGGCUCCAAAGCUAAGAAGUGGAAGCCUUCCUGUCAUAUCCCUGCCUUCGACCCAGAGUCCCGGAUGCGGGUGGCAUUCAGCAGUGGAUUUUUUAAGGAACACCCCACCAUUCCCUCCACCUGACUCCAGCAGACAGACACAGAGCUAGCGAGAGGCAAGGUCAAGUACCAAACCCAAGUCUUCUGGAACUUCACACCUGGGCAAUUUAUUGGCCCUGUCUUGCCUGACUUAGUGAAAUGUUGGA
ensembl:lncRNA